rnacentral:pre_miRNA from 14 species
UUGUUGGGGCAGAAACUGAAAGAUCCCCGAAGGGAGACCCUCACUCAAGUCUUGGGAAGUUGCAGACCCCAGACAUACGAGAGACCAG